AAAGAUCGCAGCCUUCGGCAGCUCCUACACUGGAUUUGUGUUUACCCUGUAGGAGCUGCCGAAGGCUGCGAUCUUU
rnacentral:antisense_RNA from 1 species